rnacentral:tRNA from 1 species
GCCCGAGUGGUGUACUGGCAGCAUAAGAGAUUGUGGCUCUCUUGAAACGGGUUCGAUUCCCGUCUCGGGCCCCA